AGGGAUAGCCCAGCACCGAAUCUCUAGUGCCUCGAGUGCUAGCGAAAUGUGGUGUUUAGGAGGGUCUGUAAUUCCGGGGCUCGCCUCGCCGAGUCCAAGUCCUUCUUGAACGGGGCCACGGUCCGCAGAGGGUGCCAGACCCGUAGCGACCGGUGGCGUCCUCGGUUAGACCUCUCCUUAGAGUCGGGUUGCUUGAGAGUGCAGCCUAAAGUGGGUGGUAAACUCCAUCUAAGGCUAAAUAUGACCACGAGACCGAUAGCGAACAAGUACCGUGAGGGAAAGUUGAAAAGAACUUUGAAGAGAGAGUUCAAUAGUACGUGAAACCGUUCAGGGGUAAACGGGGAAGACUUGAAAAUCCGAAACGAGAGAUUCACGUCUUCCGCCGGCCUCGUCAAGCCUGACCGAGUAUGGUCGUACUUCCUCGCUCUGGCUCCGGCCCGGGCGGUGGUGAGUCUACCAGCCGGUCGAGCGAGGCGGGGUCGCGGAGGACCGCACUUCUCUCACAGUAGGACGUCGCGACCCGUUCGGAAGCAUGCCUAAUGCCCGGUCACUAGUCUCGAGUCAGUGGCGGUCUUCGGGCCGUCGCCCUCGAGUCGGCUGAGGCAAGGCGGCGUUACGGACGGUAGUUUAAGACGGUGUCGAACCGCUCUUCGGAGCGCUUCUGGCCAUUUCCGAGUCGGUCGUCGAGCGCGGCUGCGGGCCCACAAGGGCCCGCGCCGCUUCGCGUCCGGCUGUCGGGGAGUGGUUCUGAAGCCGAGUUCACUGCACCUGUCGGCGACGCCGCAGUUUCGAGCUCUUACCCGGCCCGUCUUGAAACACGGACCAAGGAGUCCAACGUGUGCGCGAGUCGUUGGGUGAAAAAACCCAAUGGCGUAAUUAAGGUGAAGGGAAGUUCUCUUUCCUAGGGAGGAGGAGAGCCCGCCUUACACGGGCGACUCUCCGCACUCCCGGGGCGUCUCUCGCUCAUUGCGAGCUGAGGCGCACCUAGAGCGUUCACGUUGGGACCCGAAAGAUGGUGAACUAUGCCUGGCCAGGACGAAGCCAGGGGAAACCCUGGUGGAGGUCCGUAGCGGUUCUGACGUGCAAAUCGAUCGUCGGAGCUGGGUAUAGGGGCGAAAGACUAAUCGAACCAUCUAGUAGCUGGUUCCCUCCGAAGUUUCCCUCAGGAUAGCUGGCGCCCAAGUGAGACGAGUCUCAUCUGGUAAAGCGAAUGAUUAGAGGCCUUGGGGUCGAAACGACCUCAACCUAUUCUCAAACUUUAAAUGGAUGAGAACCCCGGCUUGCUUGAUUGAGUGAAGCCGGGGCUCGGAUCCGGGUGCCAAGUGGGCCAUUUUUGGUAAGCAGAACUGGCGCUGUGGGAUGAACCAAACGCGGAGUUAAGGCGCCAAAAUCGACGCUCAUCAGACACCAUGAAAGGCGUUGGUUGCUUAAGACAGCAGGACGGUGGCCAUGGAAGUCGGAAUCCGCUAAGGAGUGUGUAACAACUCACCUGCCGAAGCAACUAGCCCUGAAAAUGGAUGGCGCUGUAGCGUCGUGCCUAUACUCCGCCGCCAACGGCAAACUCGGCGCGGUCUCCUAGUGGGGCCGGUCGCUGUUACGCCUUGGUGAGUAGGAGGGUCGCGGCGAUGUGCGUAGAAGGGUCUAGGCGCGAGCCUGCCUGGAGCCGUCGCCGGCGCAGAUCUUGGUGGUAGUAGCAAAUACUCCAGCGAGGCCCUGGAGGACUGAUGUGGAGAAGGGUUUCUUGUGAACAGCCGUUGCACAAGAGUCAGUCGGUCCUAAGCCCUAGGAGAAAUCCGAUGCCGAUGGGCGCCGUUACCGAUGCCAACUCUUCGCUGUCCUUGGAGCAGGCCCCGCCUUGUGAAGGGAAUCACGCCCCGGUGCCGCGUAGGGUCACCCCGGGACUCCGGUCUCGGCGUGCACCCAGUUCUCAUUGGACCGGAUCAGCGCGUGAUAAGCCCUCUCACGUGGGUAGGCACUUGCUGUCUUGGCGAUAGAGCGAAGAAAUUGACAGGUGAUGCUGGCGCCCUAGGUUGGGCGAAAGGGAAUCCGGUUCCUAUUCCGGAACCUGGCUGCGGAACCGUUUCAAGUCGUGCCCUCUGACGAGAGCUCGUCGGGGUAACCCAAAAGGACCCGGAGACGCCGUCGGGAGAUCCAGGGAGAGUUGUCUCUUCUCUAUAAGCGUUCGAGUUCCCUGGAAACCUCUAGCAGGGAGAUAGGGUUUGGAGCGCAAAGAGCACCGCAGUUACGGCGGUGUCUGGAUCUUCCCCUCGGACCUUGAAAAUCCGGGUGAGGGCUACGAGGAACACCGCGCCAGACCGUACCCAUAUCCGCAGCAGGUCUCCAAGGUCAACAGCCUCUAGUCGUUAGAAUAAUGUAGGUAAGGGAAGUCGGCAAACUGGAUCCGUAACCUUGGGAUAAGGAUUGGCUCUGAGGAUCGUGGUGAGCCGGGCUUGGUAGGGAAGUGGAGCGGUGUCAACGAUCCGGGCCUGGGCGAGGAAAGUGGCGCUCCGGCGUUUAUGAUCCUCUGCUCGGCCCCGCGACUUGGCCACCCACGGAUCUACCUUGCUGCGAGCUGCCGGCUGCCUAGUCGCUGGUUUCGGCCGGAGGACGGGCCGGCUGUCUCUUCGGCCACCGAUUAACGGUCAGCUCAGAACUGGCACUGACCAGGGGAAUCCGACUGUCUAAUUAAAACAAAGCAUUGCGAUGGCCCCAGCGGAUGUUGACGCAAUGCGAUUUCUGCCCAGUGCUCUGAAUGUCAACGUGAAGAAAUUCAAUAAAGCGCGCGUAAACGGCGGGAGUAACUAUGACUCUCUUAAGGUAUGCAAAUGCCUCGUCAUCUAGUUACUGACGCGCAUGAAUGGAUUAACGAGAUUCCCUCUGUCCCUACCUACUAUCUAGCGAAACCACAGCCAAGGGAACGGACUUGUAAUAGUCAGCGGAGAAAGAAGACCCUGUUGAGCUUGACUCUAGGCUGGUAUUGUAAGGAGACAUGAGAGGUGUAGCAUAAGGGGAGGAGAGUUCUCUCCGCAGUGCAUACCUUACUCUCAUAGUUCCUACUUACUCGGGAGGCGGAGGGCGUCCGUCGAUGGCCUUUCGGCCACGGCGGUACGGUCUUCUUGCGCCAAGCGCCGGGGUUGGCGCCGGCCUUCCGGACCGUUGGUUGGCUUCGCUAGGCGCUGCCGAAAGGUACGUGCCGAUGCGAACCUCCAGCGCGUCCCGGGAGCGUCGGUUAGUCAACACACUCCCCGGAGUGAUCCGAUCCGAGGACAGUCCCAGGCAGAGAGUUCGACUGGGGCGGUACAUCUGUCAAAUAAUAACGCAGGUGUCCUAAGGCCAGCUCAGCGAGGACAGAAACCUCGCGUAGAGCAAAAGGGCAAAUGCUGGCUUGAUCCCGAUGCUCAGUACGCAUAGGGACUGCGAAAGCACGGCCUAUCGAUCCUUUUAGCUUGAAGAGUUUUCAGCAAGAGGUGUCAGAAAAGUUACCACAGGGAUAACUGGCUUGUGGCAGCCAAGCGUUCAUAGCGACGUUGCUUUUUGAUCCUUCGAUGUCGGCUCUUCCUAUCAUUGCGGAGCAGAAUCCGCCAAGCGUCGGAUUGUUCACCCGCCAAUAGGGAACGUGAGCUGGGUUUAGACCGUCGUGAGACAGGUUAGUUUUACCCUUUCUGAUGACUAAACAAAUUCAUUGCAACGGUAAUCCUGCUCAGUACGAGAGGAACCGCAGAUUCGGACAUUUGGUUAUGCACUCGGUCGACAGGCCGGUGGUGCCAGGCUAUCAUCCGCGGGAUUAUGCCUGAACGCCUCUAAGGCCGAAUCCCGCCUGAUAGCACUGACAUCUAGGGGUCCCAUGGGUCGAAAGGCUCAAAACAAUGUGAAACUGUAGGUGUACCCAGUUCGGCUGGGACAUCGCACGAGCCAUAUUACCGCGGAAACCCUCGCGUGGAAUCGGUUCGCGGCUAGAGCCCAACCGAUUCCCGGUUUCCGUGGGUAACAUGGGUCACCCUUCGGGGAGUUCGAUGUUGGGACCCGGAAUCGUCUGCAGACGACUUAGGUACCGAUGCGGGGUGUUGUACUCGGGAGACA
rnacentral:rRNA from 1 species